GUUCCUUUUCAUCUAGACAGAAGACCUCUCUCUUCGGCAGAAUAGAGGCCAGAGGCUCCUGGACAACACCGAUAUUCACGUGCCCAAGGUUUCCGUACUUGGAGAGCUGAGUAGGUGGAAUGCCUGACCCAAAUGGUCUGUGCUAUCUGAGCUGGUGGGAAAAGGACUUGGAGACAGCGAUUUAAAUAAGGAACGAGGUCCUCCAGGAAGACAGUGCAGAACUGGACAAAGAGCUCUUGCUCCCCACUGUUGAAGGCGGCCUCUUCAGCACGAUGGAAGGCCAGGGUUACUUUGGUUACCUAAAAGACAGCAGCACACUCAGUCAUUGGGGUAGUCUAUCACUAUCAGCAGUGCAUGAAACUAAACAAUGUGCAGCCCUCAAGUUGUCAUGAAGAAAGUCAGUCCAAAUAGUUCAUUAUAUUGCUACCUUUUUUAAAUUCAGAA